rnacentral:tRNA from 1 species
GCCCGGAUGGUCUAGUGGUAUGAUUCACCCUUAGGGCUUCCUAAUUGGGUGAGGUCCCCGGUUCGAGCCCGGGUUCGGGCC